rnacentral:rRNA from 1 species
CCUACGGGGGGCACCAGUGGGGAAUAUUGCACAAUGGGCGCAAGCCUGAUGCAGCCAUGCCGCGUGUAUGAAGAAGGCCUUCGGGUUGUAAAGUACUUUCAGCAGGGAGGAAGGUGUUGUGGUUAAUAACCGCAGCAAUUGACGUUACCCGCAGAAGAAGCACCGGCUAACUCCGUGCCAGCAGCCGCGGUAAUACGGAGGGUGCAAGCGUUAAUCGGAAUUACUGGGCGUAAAGCGCACGCAGGCGGUCUGUCAAGUCGGAUGUGAAAUCCCCGGGCUCAACCUGGGAACUGCAUUCGAAACUGGCAGGCUAGAGUCUUGUAGAGGGGGGUAGAAUUCCAGGUGUAGCGGUGAAAUGCGUAGAGAUCUGGAGGAAUACCGGUGGCGAAGGCGGCCCCCUGGACAAAGACUGACGCUCAGGUGCGAAAGCGUGGGGAGCAAACAGGAUUAGAUACCCG